CACUAGGCAUACAUGUCUAUAAGAUACAGUAUCUGUCUGCUGUAAAUUGGGUUAGACUUGGGAAAAGAAUCUUCCUAUGGCAUUAUCGUUGGCACCUAGUUGGAAAACUUCUACUUCAAUUUGGAAAUAUAUAGGAUUAUAUAUGAUGCAGUAAUUAGCUAUGAGGCUAAGGUGGACUCGGUCCUAAAAAUAGAACUUUGGUUUGGAAGCCUGCUAGAUCUGCGGAUCUAGUCAUAAUUUAAAGCCAAUUAAGUCUCAUAGAUCUAAAGGAAGAGGAUAAGGCUAAGUGGACCAUCACCAAGACAGGUUGCUUCUCUUGUGCAGCCACAUACGAGGCAUAAGGCUGAGGUGGUGGACUGGUGGAAGCUCUUGUGGUUCAACCUUACCAUACCAAAGCAUGCUCUCAUUGGCUUAUUGGUGAUCAAGAAUAAAUUAACCACAGAGCUAGAGGUGCAAAAACAGACUCUGGAUUCUGCAGAUUGUUGCUGCUAUAGAUUGCCAAUUAUCUACUAAGGCUAUUGCUGUGUGCUAGACUGUUUGCUGUGUGCUUGGAAGGUUGAUUGAUUAAACAGGUUUUCUCCUGUUCAUAGUUCACAGAUGUUUAUUUAGCUUGUGCUAUUAAUGCACAGGUUAACUCUGUAUUUUGGUUUGUUUUGUUGGUCGAGUGGGCUUCUUUUAGGCUUAGUAAUUUUGAUAGCUGAAUGACCUUUUGUUCUUUGAAUAGAUUGUAUUCUUUGUUUCUUUUUCAAUAAAACAUAUAUUCGAAUUUGAA